AACGCUAGCUACAGGCUUAACACAUGCAAGUCGAGGGGCAGCAUGUAUCCGGCUUGCCGGAUACGAUGGCGACCGGCGCACGGGUGAGUAACGCGUAUCCAACCUGCCCCGUACACGGGGAUAGCCUUCCGAAAGGGAGAUUAAUACCCGAUGAUGUCAGGAGUUCGCAUGUAAACCUGACUAAAGUUAUUACGGUACGGGAGGGGGGUGCGUUCCAUUAGGCAGCAGGCGGGGCAACGGCCCACCUGGCCGACGAUCGGUAGGGGUCCUGAGAGGGAGGCCCCCCACACUGGGACUGAGACACGGCCCAGACUCCUACGGGAGGCAGCAGUGAGGAAUAUUGGUCAAUGGCCGCGAGGCUGAACCAGCCAAGUAGCGUGAAGGAUGACGGCCCUACGGGUUGUAAACUUCUUUUAUGCGGGAUUAACGUGAGGUACGUGUACCUUAUUGCAGGUACCGCAUGAAUAAGCAUCGGCUAACUCCGUGCCAGCAGCCGCGGUAAUACGGAGGAUGCAGGCGUUAUCCGGAUUUAUUGGGUUUAAAGGGAGCGCAGACGGCAUGUCAAGUCAGCUGUGAAAGUUCGGGGCUCAACCUUGGAAUUGCAGUUGAUACUGGCGUCCUUGAGUGCGGUUGAGGUGUGCGGAAUUCGUGGUGUAGCGGUGAAAUGCUUAGAUAUCACGAAGAACUCCGAUUG
rnacentral:rRNA from 1 species